rnacentral:rRNA from 1 species
UACGGGGGGGGCAAGCGUUGUUCGGAUUUACUGGGCGUAAAGGGCGCGUAGGCGGCCAGCACAAGUCAGUUGUGAAAUCUCCGGGCUUAACUCGGAAAGGUCAACUGAUACUGUGCGACUAGAGUGCGGAAGGGGCAACUGGAAUUCUCGGUGUAGCGGUGAAAUGCGUAGAUAUCGAGAGGAACACCUGCGGCGAAGGCGGGUUGCUGGGCCGACACUGACGCUGAUGCGCGAAAGCCAGGGGAGCGAACGGG